UCUGUGGUGCAAUGGAUAGCGCAUUGGACUCCUAGACUGGAUGAAGUGAUCCAAAGGUUGUGGGUUCAAGUCCCACCAGACUCAUAUGGGCCAAAACAAAUAACCUUGAUGUCAUCUGCCCAUGGCAGAUGGGCAGAUGACAUAUUAAGUGCGACAUGCCAAGCAGCUAGUGGGACUCCUUAUAGCAUUAUUUUAAACAAUGACUUCCUUCUUGCCUCACUUCCUAUUGUGAAUCUCUGCAGCUCCUCCAGAGUAACUGUGCAUCUAUUGGCUGCUUCUAUGAUUCCAGCCCUCCUUGCCAAGUCUUUAAAAUCAGGUGGAAAGCCAAGUUUUAGUAAAUUUUCAAGUGUGCCAUAUGCUUUCCAAUUUUUGAACUGUCUGCUAUAUAAGAAAGUUACAAGAAAAGUUGACCAUCUUACUUGUUGGGAGAGUAGUUCCAUAUGAACACCCACUCUGUUAAAGCAACACUCUAAUGUAUAUAUGUGUGCAAGCAAUAUUUUCUGCCUGCCUUAAAUCUAUGGUACAAACAGCUUGGUAGUUUUUAUUGUUGUUGUUUUCUGAGUGUGGCUAAGUCAAUAUUAGCCCCCUGUAACAGGCUGCAGCACAUGGAGUAUGACAGAGGCUGUCAGCGCUGGGAGUUAAGGUUCGCUCCUCGGGAGCCAGUUUCUCACCUCAUGAGUGGAGAAAGGCUUCCUGCAUGAAGGCUGCAUGAAGGCUUCCUGCCUUCAUGCAGCUCCAGAAUAGGCUUACUCACAAACACUCUCUCUCUCUCUCUCUCUCUCUCUCUCUCUCUCUCUCUCUCUCUCUCACAUACACACACUUGGAGUAGAGAGACUAUCAUUACACCAGCCUAUCCAUCAGCGUUCUUCAGAUAAGUGGAUGUUUUUACAAGAACACCUCACUUUCUCAGUUGUGAAGUGUGCCACCACACUUGCCCACAUUUUCCACCCUUCCCUCCCCGUGCCCCACACAAUGCCACCUCUGUCCGCCUGUGUGAGGAGGGCAGCUAUAAUCUCCAUUUUCAGACACUUCCACUUCCCCCCCCCCCUCACUCCCCUGCUAUCAUACAAGUACAUGGCUUUUUUUAAGCCUCUCCAUCUCUCUUGCAUUAUCUUUCCAUCUCUUAUUUCAUUCACCCCUUUCUUUGUCUCCUGCUCUGUCAUCUUAUGCUCCCUUUUAUUCUCAACCUCUUUUUCCUCCCUUGCCUGGUAAUCGAGUGAGAGAUUCAGUGACUCCUUGACUCCCCCUUAUUGUCAGAUAUCAAACAGGGUGGCUUUGUGGAUUACCAGGGGAGGCUGAUAAUGACAUGAUAGAGGCGUGAUAUUUCAAACAAAAUUGAGUGUCAAUUGCCUGCAUCGUCUAGGCAACACAAGUGUCUGCAUUUCAGCAGCCAGGCAGGAAAUAAGGCCAAUCUAUUUCUUUUGGUACACAUCAAACAUCUCUAUCUUUCUCUCUCUCCCUCUCUCCAUUACGACUACAAUGGAUUCAGUUUAAAGAGAAGAAAAGUCCCGCCAACAGCAACACUUAUCCUUGUGCAGAAUGAAAUGCGCCGUUUGGAUUUGUAACUGUUUGUUUUCCUGAAUUUAAAAGUGAAUUAGCUAACGGUAGAGAGCUGAACCGGCUGCAGGUAAAGAUGCUCCUUAUUUAUUUAUUUAUUUAUUUUUUUUAAGUUUGAAUGCAGAAUCUGUUCUUCUGCAGUGCAUACACACACACAUGUGCACAUGUUUCCAAAAAGAAUCUCCACCGUUUUACUUUCCUCCCAGGGCGCAAGGGGUUUCCAUCGCGCACAUUUCAAAGACUUCUGAGUUUCCGAAUUCAUCUAUUUGUGACCAUGAGAGUCAUCAGUUAAAUGCAGGCAGCUUGCCUCUGACUUCCCAUACUGAAUAAUUAAUCGGCGUUUCGGUUGCACAUAACUGCUUUGACAUACAUACCCCUCAGCACACACAUGCACUCGCACACGCAUGCGCGCGCUCACAUAGAAGGGAUGGGACGAUCAGAAGCAGAGUUUAGGGCUAAAAAGCCAAGCAGGCUGGUGAUAUAAAUAGCUGCUGUUUGUGGAGGGGACUGCUGGCAGAAGCGGCGAUGACACUGUGGAGCAGACCACAGGGACUGUGAUGUGCCUGGUGGCCUGAAGCGAGCCCUCUGCCUCUCAGAUCAGCUCCACCACAGGCUGUGUGCAGCUUUGACCAGCCCGCUUCACAUGUGACAGCCUUAAACAAAUACAACAAAGGCUCAGUCAGUUCAGCCUUCACUGCGGUGGAUGGCCCUUGAAUAUGAGUCUCUGAACUGUCAUGUGCGAUUCUCCAGUAACAACCUCAAAAUACCGAAGGCUUCAAGCUGCAACAAGCGGUGAAGGAAAUAAGAAAUAGAAAUCAGCAUUUCACAUUGUUUUUGACAACUUUUUUUUUUUUUUCUUAAAUCUCUUUUUAUUCCACCCAUGAGCAUACUGAGGGGAGCCUUGUAGUCUCUCUUUUGGGAGCGGGAGCUAAAAGCUGAGAACCUCUGAGCGCACAAGAACACAAAAGGCAUUCCCAGCACCAAAUACAUUGAAACAUCAUCGUUUAUGAUGGGGGGGAAAUAAAUAUUCAUCCAGACUGGGAGGAGAUACAGAAUUGGGUAAUUUGAAUCCCUUAUUCUGUCACUCUCUACAUUUUGUAACCCAUGUUCUAGUUUCGGCUAAUGCUUGCAGCCACUGCCUGUAACUCACCACAAACAUGAACUGGAAACAUGCAUGUGUUCCAGCCUCAGAGACUGGAGAGAUGUGCAGAAAUUUAGACCCCCAUUUUGUUGACAGUGCCUUGCAAUAAGCUUUGCCAAAUUUUGUAACAUUUUUACAGCAAGUACAACUGAAAGUCUUUUUGGAAAUCUCUAUACGAGCUUUGUAUAUUGAGGGACAGAAAAUGUUUGCUUACUUCUCCUGGCAGAACUGCUUCAGUAAGAUUAAGUAGAUAGCCUCUGUGAACAUCAAAAAUGAAAACUACCCUUCUCAAUUAGUCUCAAGCCUCCAAUUUAAUUCUGUUGGUCUUCAGAUUGACUCUUACCAGUAAAGAUACCCCGCAGCAUGAUGCAACCACCACCAUUUUCCACUGCAUGCAUGGUGUAUUCAGGGUCGUAGGUCACGUAUAACCCAAUAAGAUGCAUUUUUAUUUCAGAAGUAAACCCCCAAAAUUUUAACUCUAUUUAAGUAACUUCCAAAUGCAACUGGUUGCACUGGUGUUUAUUUAAGGGUGCCAGUGUAAUAUUCCCACAACUAUUUGUUGUUAUUUGUAUCCUCCUCAGCUUUUUAAUGUUGUUCUAAAAGGCUUAAGCUUUUGCCAUUGUUCCCCAUUAGCAGACAAUAGUCAUUCCCAGAAUAACUGAUACCUCGUCUAUAACAGGCCUGAACUGAGAUAGAGCAGCUUGAACCGACAAAGGACUAUAUUGAUUUAUAGAGUCUUCCAUGAUAGUCUUAUUGGCCUACACUUCAAAGCCACAGAGGGCACUGGAGCCAUGAAUCACAGCUUUGGAAAACAUACUCACACACACACACACACACACACAAACACACAAUACACACGCACACACACACACACACACACACACACCAGGUAAUAAUGAUACACCGUAGUGUUGUUAAGGAUGUGAUUACAACUCUCUUCCAUUUUAUAUCCCAAAACACUCACUUUUACUGAAAGGAGUAGGGGCAAGGUCGCUGGAGGUUCUUUGAAUGUGACAGCUCGUAAACAAAGCAAAGAUAAAACAUGGUGCUGCUCAGUCAACUACUAGAGUAAAAAGGGAAGGUGACGUGCUCCAGGAAAGAGGUAAAGAAAAACAGAAGAGUGAAAGAAUGAGCAUGCCUGGACAGAGAGAAAAUACCUCAUCAAGGUUCACAGAGUUUAAGAAGCUCACAGCCAGGAGAAGGAGCUCCUGUCCUUUUCUGUUCCAACACACAUGAACAUACACACAGAACCCCGAGGCCAUCUUGUUAUACCUGGUCAACUUUAUCCUUCUUAGCGUCUCCAACCCCGCCCUCCUCCCAAACACACACACAGCAUCCUGGCAUCGCAUCGCCGCAGAGGCGCAGCAGCCUGUGGAUGACACGCAGAUCCUCCGGCUAGCUCUCCCGGCAGAUAAAACUAAUUAUUCCAAAUCUACUCUGUCAGGUUGUCUGAUCCUCUGGGGCCUCAGUUUAAUUCUCUCUCACUCUCCAUCGCAGGUCCUCCCUCAGUCGUAAAACACAAAAUGACCAGGAGCCCAUUCAGACUCACCUCAAGAGUAAAAACGGAGUGACGAGCCAUAAAGGGACAUUCACAGCAGCUAAAAUGCAUGACUUUCUUUGUAAAAGCAGACCCUUACUAAUAAGUGCCCUGAUCAUUGCCUAAAAUUAGAGAUGAUGAUCUUUUUUCUGAUCUCUGAAAGCAACAUAAAUGAGAUCUAACAGAUUGCAUUCUUCAGUGUAGAAGUUGUUACUGUAGGGGAAGGACUCAAAGCCAGAUAUUUGAAGUAUCAGUGAAAUGUUUAGACAUUUGGUCAGAGGUACAAACAAAGUUGGAAGAAAACCUGUUGGAUACACUCUUAAGUCAUUGUCAUUUGAUUCCUUUGCCAUUUCUUGGCUCUGCAGUUUGAUCAUUUCAUAUCCGAUCUUAUUAGGUUCAAAAAGAAAAAUCAUUUGGGAAUCUCCAUCACUCACACAGUGUGACAUCACCUCUGCUCCUGAUCAAAAUAAUGACAGGAGAUCCACCAGUGAUGCUGAUGAGGUAUAAAUUGAGCUUGCUCAGUUUAUUUAAUAAAGUAACUUAAAAGAGAAUUACAGUUUUUUUUUUUUUUUUUAAGUAUUUCAUCUGCUCAUCAGUAAUCAGAGUCAGUCUAGAAAAAAAAUCUCUGAUUUUGAUCUCUGGCCAACCGAUUGGUGUAUCUCUAAAGUUUUAAAAAAAGAAACAUUGUUUAAACUACUAGUAGUAAACUACUACUUCACCAAAUACACCUAAAAAAGCCCUAAUCACACCUUCACAUGUAAACAACUAUGAAGUACAACAAAAAGUUCCUGAUAGUCAUAUGCUGUUUAUUUUUGGGUGUCUGUCAUUAAGACUCCUAUAAAGUUUAAGAGCUAAAUAAUAAGAAAUUCUAAGGGGUUUUCGAACUGUACAUCCUGAAAACCAUCCAUACAAAUGAGCUCCAAAGACAAAUGGAAGCUCAUAAAAAAGGGAUUCGACUGUAUAGACUUUGCAUUUUAUCUUUUUGCAGUUCCCCCCUUUACGAGGCAAGGACCUCUACAGUGGAGAGUAUAUGGAGGGGAAGGGGUGGACAGCAGAGACACGGUGAGGAUGACAGUAAGGAUGUUAAGGAGGAAGAAUAAGAAUGAGGCACAGGUUGAGGGAAUGAGAUAGAGGAGUGCCAGGGUCACAAAUCUUGCUGCUAUUCCAGUACGUGACAUCUUCGCUCGUUUGCGGCUGCUCAUUAACAAACAAUACUGCUGUGAAAUUGGUUUAAUGACAAAGUAAUAAAAUUGCUAUUCUGCUCACAGAUGGCCUGAGGCACAGAGAGAUUCUAGCAGGCUUACUGUGGCUGCCCGUGCACAUUAAGCUGCUUGUUCAUGAAAAUAGAAUCCCAACACUUGACUUCUCACAACCCCUAACUUUUUUUUUUUUUUACCCGUUUCAAGUUUUUUUUUUUUUUUUUUUUUUGCACGCGUU